rnacentral:rRNA from 1 species
UACGUAGGGUGCAAGCGUUGUCCGGAAUUAUUGGGCGUAAAGAGCUCGUAGGCGGUUUGUCGCGUCUGCUGUGAAAACUCGGGGCUUAACCCCGGGCCUGCAGUGGGUACGGGCAGACUAGAGUGCGGUAGGGGAGACUGGAAUUCCUGGUGUAGCGGUGAAAUGCGCAGAUAUCAGGAGGAACACCGGUGGCGAAGGCGGUUCUCUGGGUAUGUCCUGACGCUGAGGAGCGAAAGUGUGGGGAGCGAACAGG